rnacentral:rRNA from 1 species
UGGCUCAGGACGAACGCUGGCGGCGUGCCUAAUACAUGCAAGUCGAGCGGAGUUGAUGAAGGUGCUUGCACCUCUGAUACUUAGCGGCGGACGGGUUGUAGUAACACGUGGGUAACCUGCCUGUAAGACUGGGAUAACAUUCGGAAACGAAUGCUAAUACCGGAUACGCGAUUUGGUCGCAUGACCGAAUCGGGAAAGAUGGAGCAAUCUAUCACUUACAGAUGGACCCGCGGCGCAUUAGCUAGUUGGUGAGGUAACGGCUCACCAAGGCGACGAUGCGUAGCCGACCUGAGAGGGUGAUCGGCCACACUGGGACUGAGACACGGCCCAGACUCCUACGGGAGGCAGCAGUAGGGAAUCUUCCGCAAUGGACGAAAGUCUGACGGAGCAACGCCGCGUGAGUGAUGAAGGUUUUCGGAUCGUAAAGCUCUGUUGCCAGGGAAGAAUGCUUGGGAGAGUAACUGCUCUCAAGGUGACGGUACCUGAGAAGAAAGCCCCGGCUAACUACGUGCCAGCAGCCGCGGUAAUACGUAGGGGGCAAGCGUUGUCCGGAAUUAUUGGGCGUAAAGCGCGCGCAGGCGGCCUUGUAAGUCUGUUGUUUAAACUUGGGGCUCAACCCCAAGUCGCA